GGGAGGGGGACGGGGACGAAGGGGACGGACCCCCCCCCUUACAGAUGGACAGGACAAAUGCUAGGAGGGAUCGGUGGAAAUUAAAUGAGGUAGACAAGGGAAGGGCAGCCCCCUCUGUUUGAAGAGAAUGCAAAAGGCCAUCCAGCCUUAAACCGCUGAGAUUAGGGGUAAUAUUUACUAAAGUCCAGUAGAUGCUCCUUUAACUUGGUGGCCGGGACGUGCUCCAAAGUCCCGAGUCCUGCAGUCCACAGGCUCUCCCCCGCUCCCGUCCCUCACUUCAAAGCCGGUUACCGCGCAGAAACCAUGUGAGUCACCGCGCUGAGACAUAACACUACGGGCACCCAAUAAAUGCGGACAGAGGCUUGAAUGCGGAUCCACCGAUAUUAACCUCCACUUGGCAAACAUCAGAAUUAAGUCAAAUCCUCGAAACAAACAAACCUCUGGAAUCAGCCGACGAGAACAAGGGACAAAAAUGUGUCUUGAAGGAAAUAAAAUAGAUAAAAGCACCGGAUUUAAACCCGCUUUCUCAAAUGGUCAAACUACACCCAUGGAAAUUGGAACAAAUCCCAGUGGAGAUUCUCGGAGAUAUUAAAAUUGCGGUCUUCAUGUAUGCACCCAUCCCUCUUUCACUAAUGGAAGCGGUCUAUACGUCUGAAAAUCGAGACCUUUCU